GAUGAACGCUGGCGGCGUGCCUAAUACAUGCAAGUCGAGCGAACAGACGAGGAGCUUGCUCCUCUGACGUUAGCGGCGGACGGGUGAGUAACACGUGGAUAACCUACCUAUAAGACUGGGAUAACUUCGGGAAACCGGAGCUAAUACCGGAUAAUAUAUUGAACCGCAUGGUUCAAUAGUGAAAGACGGUUUUGCUGUCACUUAUAGAUGGAUCCGCGCCGCAUUAGCUAGUUGGUAAGGUAACGGCUUACCAAGGCAACGAUGCGUAGCCGACCUGAGAGGGUGAUCGGCCACACUGGAACUGAGACACGGUCCAGACUCCUACGGGAAGCAGCAGUAGGGAAUCUUCCGCAAUGGGCGAAAGCCUGACGGAGCAACGCCGCGUGAGUGAUGAAGGUCUUCGGAUCGUAAAACUCUGUUAUUAGGGAAGAACAAAUGUGUAAGUAACUAUGCACGUCUUGACGGUACCUAAUCAGAAAGACACGGCUAACUACGUG
rnacentral:rRNA from 1 species